GACAGAGGGGGCAAGCGUUGCUCGGAAUUACUGGGCGUAAAGGGCGCGUAGGCGGGCUGGCAAGUCGGUCGUGAAAUCCCUCGGCUCAACUGAGGAUCGUCGAUCGAUACUGCCGUUCUUGAGGAUUGCAGAGGAGACUGGAAUUCCCGGUGUAGCGGUGAAAUGUGUAGAGAUCGGGAGGAACACCGGUGGCGAAGGCGGGUCUCUGGGCAAUUCCUGACGCUGAGGCGCGAAAGCUAGGGGAGCAAACAGG
rnacentral:rRNA from 1 species